rnacentral:rRNA from 1 species
GAUGAACGCUAGCGGCAGGCUUAACACAUGCAAGUCGAGGGCAGCAUAAUGGAUAGCAAUAUCUAUGGUGGCGACCGGCGCACGGGUGCGUAACGCGUAUGCAACCUACCUUUAACAGGGGGAUAACACUGAGAAAUUGGUACUAAUACCCCCAUAAUAUCAUAGAAGGCAUCUUUUAUGGUUGAAAAUUCCGAUGGUUAGAGAUGGGCAUGCGUUGUAUUAGCUAGUUGGUGAGGUAACGGCUCACCAAGGCGACGAUACAUAGGGGGACUGAGAGGUUAACCCCCCACACUGGUACUGAGACACGGACCAGACUCCUACGGGAGGCAGCAGUGAGGAAUAUUGGUCAAUGGACGCAAGUCUGAACCAGCCAAGUAGCGUGAAGGAUGACUGCCCUAUGGUUGUAAACUUCUUUUAUACGGGAAUAAAGUGAGGCACGUGUGCCUUUUUGUAUGUACCGUAU